ACGGAGGGUGCGAGCGUUAAUCGGAAUUACUGGGCGUAAAGGGUGCGUAGGCGGUUGUUUAAGUCAGAUGUGAAAUCCCCGGGCUCAACCUGGGAACUGCAUUUGAAACUGGACAGCUAGAGUUUUGUAGAGGGAGGUAGAAUUUCAGGUGUAGCGGUGAAAUGCGUAGAGAUCUGAAGGAAUACCGGUGGCGAAGGCGGCCUCCUGGACAAAAACUGACGCUGAGGCACGAAAGCGUGGGUAGCAAACAGG
rnacentral:rRNA from 1 species